AGUGAACGCUGGCGGCAGGCCUAAUACAUGCAAGUCGAACGGCAGCACAGCAGAGCUUGCUCUGUGGGUGGCGAGUGGCGGACGGGUGAGGAAUACAUGGGAAUCUGCCCAGUCGUGGGGGAUAACGUAGGGAAACUUACGCUAAUACCGCAUGCGCCCUUCGGGGGAAAGCCGGGGACCGUAAGGCCUGGCGCGAUUGGAUGAGCCCAUGUCGGAUUAGCUAGUUGGCGGGGUAAAGGCCCACCAAGGCGACGAUCCGUAGCUGGUCUGAGAGGAUGAUCAGCCACACUGGAACUGAGACACGGUCCAGACUCCUACGGGAGGCAGCAGUAGGGAAUAUUGGACAAUGGGCGCAAGCCUGAUCCAGCCAUGCCGCGUGAGUGAAGAAGGCCCUCGGGUUGUAAAGCUCUUUUGUCCGGAAAGAAAAGCGCCGGGUUAAUACCCUGGUGUCCUGACGGUACCGGAAGAAUAAGCACCGGCUAACUUCGUGCCAGCAGCCGCGGUAAUC
rnacentral:rRNA from 1 species